rnacentral:rRNA from 1 species
CCUACGGGAGGCAGCAGUGGGGAAUUGUUCGCAAUGGGCGAAAGCCUGACGACGCAACGCCGCGUGGAGGAUGAAGACCUUCGGGUCGUAAACUCCUUUCGAUCGAGACGAAUGGCCUCCGGGUAAAUACUCCGGAGGAGUGACGGUACCGAGAGAAGAAGCCCCGGCUAACUCCGUGCCAGCAGCCGCGGUAAUACGGGGGGGGCAAGCGUUGUUCGGAAUUACUGGGCGUAAAGGGCUCGUAGGCGGCCAACUAAGUCAGACGUGAAAUCCCUCGGCUUAACCGGGGAACUGCGUCUGAUACUGGAUGGCUUGAGUUCGGGAGAGGGAUGCGGAAUUCCAGGUGUAGCGGUGAAAUGCGUAGAUAUCUGGAGGAACACCGGUGGCGAAGGCGGCAUCCUGGACCGACACUGACGCUGAGGAGCGAAAGCCAGGGGAGCAAACGGGAUUAGAUACCCCGGUAGUCCUGGCCCUAAACGAUGAAUGCUUGGUGUGGCGGGGAUCGAUCCCUGCCGUGCCGAAGCUAACGCAUUAAGCAUUCCGCCUGGGAGUCGGUCGCAAGGCUGAAACUCGAAAUGAAUUGACG